GCCUGUGGACGCGGGACAGACUUUAACACCUGCCUUUCUGCCAUACGUCUUAUCUGCACCACGUCAUUCUCACCUGCCUUCUCGACAGCUUCUCUCAUCUCUGUGGAGCUCAUUGUACCAGAAUUAUCCACAUCCUUCUCACGGUAGAUAUUCUGUUGAAGAGAACAACAUGAAGGACGGAGAAAAGACAAAACAAAGCAAGAAGUCCACAGAAUUUUGAACUCCACCAGACCGAGUUUCCCGGUGCCGUCUUUCUGCAGAAGUGGUCAGGAAAUCAAUGUUUCAGAGUCUACCCUCUCUGAUUACUUAUGAGAUCGAAGGAUACAUCCAAAAGGUUGACCAUGUUGCGACAAGUCGAGAGGCUGAAGCCGCUGGUCUUGAUGUCGGAUCCUGUGACACAUAUUUGCACUCAGUACCAUAGACCUCCCUGCUCAAGACUUUACCUCAUAGAUGGCGAAGCCGAUGGUGUGCAUGUCCUCGCCCAUCUUCCUCAUACAUCUGCGGUUCUUCUGGAUCAGACCCACUAUGAAGCUGCAGCCAGCCUCG